rnacentral:tRNA from 1 species
GGGCCCGUAGCCGAGAUCGGAUAAGGCACCGGCCUCCGGAGCCGGAGAACGGGGGUUCGAGUCCCUCCGGGCCCG